rnacentral:snRNA from 1 species
AGAAGAAUCAUUUGAACCCGGGAGGUGGAGGUUGCAGUGAGCCGAGAUUGCACCAUUGCACUCCAGACUGGGGGACAAGA